rnacentral:tRNA from 1 species
CGAGGACCUGGCGCAGGAGGUCUGCGUCGCGGUGCUGAUGGCGCUGCCGCGGUACAAGGACACCGGCCGGCCCUUCGAGGCGUUCGUCUUCGCC